rnacentral:tRNA from 1 species
CAGGGAGACAAUAAAUUGAUUGUGAUGUCUAAGUUUUUUAUUCUUAGGCCGCAAUCCUGUCACCUCAAGGUCGAUCGGUACCUCAGAUUUGAGAAUUAAUUUUAUAAUUUUUUCUUUCAUUUCAGUUCCUAAACUUGUCUAGGUCACACCCAACAAAGGUUUCUCCUGGGCCAUUAGCUCAGGUGGUUAGAGCGCACCCCUGAUAAGGGUGAGGUCCCUGGUUCAAGUCCAGGAUGGCCCAUUCGUUGUUGGGGGUAUAGCUCAGUUGGUAGAGCGCCUGCUUUGCAAGCAGGAUGUCAGCGGUUCGAGUCCGCUUACCUCCACUGAAAACUAUCCUGAUAACUAAAUUCUGGAGAAAAAAUUUGUAGAUGUGGCUUAGAAUUGUUUAUUGAAAAGAACCUAGCUUCUUAUCAUCUUUUAUAUAGUUGAUAACAUGCUGGGCUCCCAUGGAUUAUUUUCAUGAGAAUUCAGUAGAACCUUGAAAACUGCAUAGAUUAGAAAGAAUAAAGCAUCUCAUGGAUGCAUAAUUCUGUUUUAAUAAUUUAGCCUUAAAACUAAAUUAUUAUUAUAAGAAUUCAUGUUUAAUUCUUGAGUAAGAGCCGAGCACAAUUGAUUUUUUUGAUUGUAUUUAA